UUCCGCCAAAGUUUUGAUAUUAUAAGAAGAAAGGGCCAAGCCCAAACAAGGCCGAAGCCCGAUUACAACGAAAACAAACGCAAGCCCAAACCCCUGGGGCAAAAUAAAAACUAAAACAGGCCCUCGGCCCACCCUAAGAAACCACCCGGCCCGCUGGCAAGCGCAUCAAGGAGGCGGCUCGACACGUGGAGUGAUCUGCUCCAUUGACGCGAAACACGUCGACACCGCCUCGACUUGAUCACCUCCGCCUUUACGCCACCGGAAACAACCACCCGCGAGAACCUUGUUAGACGGAGCUCGAAACCAGACAAGCCUCCAAACAAACGCAAAUCCCUACUUCACCGCCGUGUCAUCCCGCCGGAGAGAUCAAUCGAUCUUCGAGAUCUCCUCCGCCUUUAUCAUACUUCAAACCCAAGACACGCGACCCAAGACACCAUCUCUUCCUUUCCUUGUGAAUCAUCACCUCACCGGCGACCCUUGUCUUCUACCAAGAACUCAACCGCAGUGACCCCACCCAAGACUUACCGACAACUACGCCGACCAUGAAACAAAACUAAACUAGAAAACUUUUCCCAAAGAACCGCGGGAUCCUAAGUGGCAGCGCGGAGCUGUGCUAGCCUCCGCUCUCCAAAACUAGAGCCGGCGAAGGCAAAUCUAAUGAAGACUCCCUUCCCGGGAACUAGAGCCGGCGGCGGUGGAUCUACGAAAGCCUCCACCUCCCGGAAAAAAACCACCACUGAACAUGCAUGCCACUUCUACCACCAGGACCCUCCCAAACAACUCAAUGAGCAUUGAUUGGAUGGCAAUGCAUGGAAUCGCGCUAGGCGUUGCUCGUGGUCUAGAGUACUUGCACCAUGGCUGCAAAACAAGGAUCGUGCAUUUCGAUAUUAAACCUCAGAACGUAUUGCUGGAUGAGGAUCUUUGUCCCAAAGUUUCUGAUUUUGGACUUGCUAAACUAUGCAAGAAGAAAGAGAGCACCAUGUCACUACUAGACAUGAGAGGGACGAUAGGCUACAUCGCACCAGAGAUGAUCUCUAGAGUUUAUGGGAGUGUUUCCCACAAGUCGGAUGUAUACAGCUAUGGAAUGUUAGUCCUCGAAAUGAUAGGAGCAAGGAACAAAACAUCCGCAGAAAACUAUGCAUCGGACACAAGCUCGAUGUACUUUCCAGAAUGGAUCUACAAGGAUCUUGAGAAGGGAGACGAUGAAAGGCUUGUUGGUAAUGGAAUCAGCAACGACGAAGAGGAGAUAGCAAAGAAGAUGACAUUGGUGGGUUUGUGGUGUAUUCAGUCUUCUCCAUCAGACCGCCCACCGAUGAACAGAGUUGUGGAGAUGAUGGAAGGAAAUCUUGAUUCUCUUGAAGUCCCUCCUAAGCCUGUUUGGCAAAUUCCUACAGUGCCUCUUCCUGAAACUUCUUGGAUUUCAGAGGAGAGCUCAAGCAUCACUAAUUGAAAACCAGAACAAACAAAAUGCUUCCAGUGAGUUGCAAGCAAACCAAAGAGAUUAUAACUAGUAACUUUAUAUCACUUUUAGUCAGUAGUUCUAUGGUCUCUACCAUUCUAAAGUCGUUAGCAAACUCUUCUAUAAGUUAGCUAUGGAUCAGACUCUUCAUCACAUACUAUUCUCAGGGCCGGCUUGGUAUAUAGAGCUGUCAGUUUAUCUAGUAUUAUGGGUCAUUUUCACGCCAAUCAUAGUAUUAGUCGAAAGCACAUUAUAAACACAUGUCAAAGUCAUUCCAUUAAGGCUAUUAGAAGUUAAAAAAUCCAAAUAAUCACUUUAUUUUUGUUUUUUCUUGUUUAAUGAAUGUUAUUUUAUGGAUUUCUUUUGUGAUUCAUAUUUUUAGUGUUGUCUAUUGGAUUUGUCUCAUCUCCAACAAAACACUAAAUUUGGUGUAAUUUCAUCUCCAACAAGACACCAAAGUUAACAUCAUCCCACUAAAUUUGGUGUAAUGCGAAUUAGUGUAACACUAAUCAUCACACCAAAUCUUUAAAAUGCAUAUUUUAUAAUGUUUCAUUUAAUAAUAUAGUUUUUUUUAAAAUAUAGUUUAAUUACUAUCAAAUUUGUAAUUAAACAUUAAUAUAUUGUAUUAUUUGUAUUUUUUAUUUAUUUUCAAAAACCAAAUUUUUAUUCUUUUAUUUCUAUUUUCAAAAUAAACUUCUAAAUGACUAUUAUCACUUACAAAUAAUAAAAAUAUAAAUAAUAGUCUACAUGUGAUAAAAUAAUUAUUUAUCAAUUAUAAACAAUAAAUAUAAAAAAUCAAAAUAAAAUCAAAAUAAUAUAUAAUAUGAUUUUUGGUGUAAAAUUUAGUGUCAACAAGAGAUUACACAAAAACACCAAAUUUAGUGUAAUUUCAACACCAAAUUUGGUGUCAUUGUUGGAGAGCCAUUGACCAGUUGACCGAAGAGAUUCUCAUAAAUUCGUCAAAUAUGUGUAUCUUUGAAUUGCAUUUGCCAAUAGCAUAAUUAAUGUCUUUCAUACGAGUUCUUCUAUUUUCAUUUUUCCAUGAUCAUAAUUAGUGACGUGAGUAUUUAACCGAAUGAGUAACGCAAUUGAAAAUUAAAUAAUAAUUGACGAAUUAAUAACCGAGGAUCUUUUGGGUCCCACUUACCCAAAAAUUAAGACCGUUACAAAAGUCAAAAACGAUAAAAGGGUAAAAGCAUCCACACAACAAAAUAUUUUAAAGUCUCUCAUCUCUUUCAAUCGGAAAGUAUUCUUAUAUGCCCUAGUUAGAAAAUUUAUAUUCUUACUAUCCCACUUUUUUUCUAACUACCCCACCUUUUUGCACCUUUUCCCCUUUCCUUUCUUACCCUUUCUUUCUUUAUUAUUUCUGUUCUUCUUUUCAAACAUCACGGGACCCACCAUUAUUCUUUCUUUUUUUCCUUAAUUUUUUUCUCGAGUAAGUCCCAUAUAACUUUUUUUUUUUUUAACUCUGAAAGAUUGCAUUAUAUAGUUUAGUCGAAAGACUAUAAAAACCAACAGGAACCGAGAAAAACAUAAACAGAAAGACAAAAACAUAGAGUAGGUCCCAUAUAACUUUCUCUACCGACCAGAUUUUUUUCUAGUUUCUUUAAAUCUUUUUCAGCUGGGUCACAGAUUUUAUUUUCCAGAUCCUUUUUUUAAGAUUUUUUUUUCUAAAUUGUUAAAUGAUUUUUUUUUUUUUUUCCGCCAAAGUUUUGAUAUUAUAAGAAGAAAGGGCCAAGCCCAAACAAGGCCGAAGCCCGAUUACAACGAAAACAAACGCAAGCCCAAACCCCUGGGGCAAAAUAAAAACUAAAACAGGCCCUCGGCCCACCCUAAGAAACCACCCGGCCCGCUGGCAAGCGCAUCAAGGAGGCGGCUCGACACGUGGAGUGAUCUGCUCCAUUGACGCGAAACACGUCGACACCGCCUCGACUUGAUCACCUCCGCCUUUACGCCACCGGAAACAACCACCCGCGAGAACCUUGUUAGACGGAGCUCGAAACCAGACAAGCCUCCAAACAAACGCAAAUCCCUACUUCACCGCCGUGUCAUCCCGCCGGAGAGAUCAAUCGAUCUUCGAGAUCUCCUCCGCCUUUAUCAUACUUCAAACCCAAGACACGCGACCCAAGACACCAUCUCUUCCUUUCCUUGUGAAUCAUCACCUCACCGGCGACCCUUGUCUUCUACCAAGAACUCAACCGCAGUGACCCCACCCAAGACUUACCGACAACUACGCCGACCAUGAAACAAAACUAAACUAGAAAACUUUUCCCAAAGAACCGCGGGAUCCUAAGUGGCAGCGCGGAGCUGUGCUAGCCUCCGCUCUCCAAAACUAGAGCCGGCGAAGGCAAAUCUAAUGAAGACUCCCUUCCCGGGAACUAGAGCCGGCGGCGGUGGAUCUACGAAAGCCUCCACCUCCCGGAAAAAAACCACCACUGAACAUGCAUGCCA
rnacentral:lncRNA from 1 species